GUAACGAGUGUAGUAAUGAGUGUAGUUGUAACGAGUGUAGUAACGAGUGUAGUAACGAGUGUAGUUACGAGUGUAGUAAUGAGUGUAGUUGUAACGAGUGUAGUAACGAGUGUCUCUGAGCAAGACACUGUACGUGUGUGAAGGAGACAGACAACAAAACGCCCCUAAAGCUGCCAAUCAAAAACAAUGCAACGUUAAAAAGCAGCGUCUGGCGUUGCACAACAUGCAAAACCUCCAGAUACCGAUGAGUAUUUGUAGCGCUCACAGUGCAGAGACACAGCGGACAGAAGAUCAGAGAGACCUGAAUCCACUGCAGGCAGAGCCUCCCGUCAACAGUCAUGUCAGCCAACUCUUCCUCCUUCAACUUGUCUGCAGACCUGCAGAUCUGCAUCGACAGCACAUCCUGCGCCUCCGGCAUGAUCGCUUUCACCGUCUGCAGCCUCCUGCUGGUCCUCCCUCCCUGCGUCUACGUCGUCUACCUGGGACUCAAACAACGGCGCUCCGGCACGGCGGCGAGCCACUCCGACGUCUUCACCUACCACGUGGUCGCCAUCGAGCUGAUGAAUAUCGUCGGGAACCUUUUAUGCAGCUGUGCCGUCGUCGGUGGUCCCAUAGAAUUGAUGAUUGCGGGUAUGACCUUUUUUAGCAUGAACAUGUGCGGCCAGCAGCUGUUUCACUCUCUGACCUGUGUGGAGCGCUACCUGGCCGUCGUUCACCCCGUCACCUACCUGGGCCUGAAGAACCAGAAGGGCGUCAGAGUCAGAAACGUCUCCAUCGGAUGUGUUUGGCUGCUGUGCUUCGCAUACAUAAGUACACUAUUUUUGGGGACCUUUUUUUCCUCAUACAUCCUCUCCUUUUGCGUCACAUUGUUUAACUUCGUCCUCAUCUCCUUCUGCAGCCUUUCUGUUCUCUGUGUUCUGAUCGGUCCAGGGCCGGGGACGGGGCCCGGGGGGGGGAGCAGGCAGCGGGUCGACCAAUUAAAGAUGAGAGCGUUCUACACCAUCACGGUCAUACUGGGGGUACUGUUGCUGAAGCUUGGGGGGUCUACAGCUAACUUUGUCAUAUAUUCCUUAAAAGACCUGACGCGGUCUGAUGGUUGGAUUGUGUGGUUGUGUUUGACCUGGUUGUCUCUGCCCAGCAGUCUCCUGCUGCCGCUGCUCUUUCUUCACAGGGACGGAAAACUUGUGUGUCGCAAGACCGUCGAGGACUGAGGACACGGGUCAGAUUAGGUGGUGAUCUUCUUUCGGCUGUGUGUCUUGGUUCUUUGUUGGAAUGUGAUCCUCCUCGUUGGCAAACGUCUUGAUCCAGACAAGCAACAUUUGUUCUAUUGAACAGUCACAGGGGAUUUAAUCAGAAUAAAAUAUGAAACAAGUUAGCAAAAGGCUGGACUAAAGUCUCCUUUACGGCCUCUUUUUGUCUUAAAAUAACAAAUGACCUUCUGAGACUGACAGGUGUGAUUUGAAUGAACACCGGUUUUAAGUUACAGAUCAUGUGAAUCCAGUCUCACCUCCACGUAAAAUACAAAAAUACAAAAACAGGCUCAUUCCCAAUAAUGAAAUACACGAUGCAAGUACAUAUUUAAUAUGAAAGUAUAUUUAAUGUCCUGUAGGCUGGUAUUGUCUUGUGUGCCUGAAGAAAACGUAGUUCCCUGAAAUGUAUUUGCAUGUAUAAUCCUAAAAUAUAGUGGUUGCAGUUUUUAUGUGCAUUAACACAAACAUUCACAAUGUUUGUUUUUUUAAAUGACUGAAUAAAUCAUCAUUAUCGGCUGAAGUGUCUUUGAGCAAAGUAGUGGCGUCGUGUUCUUCUGCAUCUGGGAAGGAAAUUAGAUGCAAAUCAAAAUAAUUUUGAAGUGAAUGAGCGAUUUCCUACUGGGUAGAAAACAUGCAAAACACACACACACACACACACACACACACACACACACACACACACACACACACACACACAGUAGUGUUUAACUGAGUAUUUAUUGACAACACACCAGCUCAUCAUUCAGACACACGACGACGGUCAGAACACCAAACAGUUUGGAAUCUAAAACGACGUCAAAUCAUGUCAGUCAACUCCUCUUCCUCCUCUUUUCCCACUCUGGACUCUUCCUCCGACAAUAUAUACGACCUUCUGCAAAACUGCAACAGCACCUCCUGCGUCUCCAGCCUGACCGCUUACACCGUCUCCAGCCUCCUGCUGGUCCUCCCUCCCUGCGUCUACGUCGUCUACCUGGGACUCAGACGACGGCGCCCCGGCACUCCGACGGGCCACGCCGACGUCUUCACCUACCACAUGGUCGCCAUCGAGCUGAUGAAUAUCGUAGGGAACCUUUUGUUCUGUUUUGGCGUCUUUACCCGUCUCUCAGAAGUGGUCAUGGGGAGCAUGUACCUUACUGCCAUGAACAUGUACGGACAGCUAUACUAUCACAGUCUGACCUGUGUGGAGCGCUACCUGGCCGUCGUUCACCCCGUCACCUACCUGGGCCUGAGGAGCCAGAAGGGCGUCAGAGUCCGGAACGUCUCCAUCGGAUGUGUUUGGCUGCUCUGCAUUGCAAACGUGGGUUUGACAUUCUUGAAGGACACCAAUUUCAUCUACAUCCUCCCUUAUUGUACCUUCAUCUUCAUCUUCAUCGUCGUCUCCUUCUACAGCGGGUCGACCGAGCAAAGAUGAGAGCGUUCUACACCCUCCUGGUCAUACUGGGGGUGCUGUUGGUGAGGUUAGUGGGGACUACAUUUACUGCUCUUUAUUCUGCCACCGCGCAUCUGGGGGGGUGUGAGAAGUGCACUAUGUUUAUGUCGGUACUGUGCAUGUCUCUGCCCAGCAGCCUGGUGCUGCCUCUGCUCUAUGUUCACCGGGCGGGAAAACUGCUUCACUGUAGGAACCUCAACGAAUGAGCACAAGGAUCAGAUCUGAUCAUCUUCUAGUAGCUGUUAUUCUGGGAUUGUUUUAAAUAUCUUUGUAGUUCGUUUGGGUCCUUGCAAUCUGGUUUUGUCGUUUUUUUUUUUUAAAGAUGUAUGUUUUAAUAAAAAAGCAUUUAAACAUUCAAUUUAUCUGUAAAUGUCGGCAUACCUGGAGAUUCCUCACCAUAUAUUAUGUAUCAUAGCAUAGUAGACACCAGUUAUCAGUCCAGACAUACAAAGGACACAAGAUCAGGAUCUAAAAUCAACCGUCAGAGUGAGUAUCAUUAUAUUUUAUUCAAUAUUCUUAAACACAUAACAAAGUAAUGCCAAUAGCAAACCAAUAAAUCUGUAAAAACACUGUUUCAUUACUAUACUGAAACGUAGAGGACUACAUUAAUCCUCUAAAGUUGUUCUCAGAUGCAUAUAGAAAUGUGUGCUUGGGGGUUUUGUUCAUGUUUUAUCAAUAUUUGUGAUUGUUCU
ensembl:lncRNA